rnacentral:snoRNA from 1 species
AUUUGGGAAUGAUGAACGAAUUUUGUCAAUCAAACAGUUAUCCCUGACGGAAAGAUUAUUUGUCGAUAUGAUGGACUCUGACCCAAAU